rnacentral:rRNA from 1 species
GUGGGAUCUUAUCACUUUCGCUUAGCCACUGAGAUUGCUCCCAACAGCUAGUAUCCAUCGUUUACGGCGUGGACUACCAGGGUAUCUAAUCCUGUUCGCUACCCACGCUUUCGUCCAUCAGCGUCAAUCCAUUAGUAGUAACCUGCCUUCGCAAUUGGUAUUCCAUGUAAUCUCUAAGCAUUUCACCGCUACACUACAUAUUCUAGUUACUUCCUAAUAAUUCAAGUCUAACAGUAUCAAUGGCCGUUCCACCGUUGAGCGAUGGGCUUUCACCACUGACUUAUUAAACCGCCUACGGACCCUUUAAACCCAAUGAUUCCGGAUAACGCUUGGAUCCUCCGUAUUACCGCGGCUGCUGGCACGGAGUUAGCCGAUCCUUAUUCUUACGAUACCGUCAAGCUACUUCACGAAGUAGUGUUUCUUCUCGUAUAAAAGCAGUUUACAAUCCAUAGGACCGUCAUCCUGCACGCGGCAUGGCUGGAUCAGGCUUGCGCCCAUUGUCCAAUAUUCCUCACUGCUGCCUCCCGUAGGAGUCUGGUCCGUGUCUCAGUACCAGUGUGGGGGAUCUCCCUCUCAGGACCCCUACCCAUCGUAGCCUUGGUAAGCCGUUACCUUACCAACUAGCUAAUGGGACGCAUGCUCAUCUUUUACCGUUGUGACUUUAAUUAUAAAAUGAUGCCAUUUCAUAAUACUAUGAGGUAUUAAUCCAAAUUUCUCUGGGCUAUCCCUCUGUAAAAGGUAGAUUGCAUACGCGUUACGCACCCGUGCGCCGGUCUCUAGUUCCGAAGAA